CCUACGGGCGGCUGCAGUGGGGAAUAUUGGACAAUGGGCGAAAGCCUGAUCCAGCCAUGCCGCGUGUGUGAAGAAGGCCUUCGGGUUGUAAAGCACUUUCAGUGGGGAAGAAAGCCUUGGGGCUAAUACCCUCGAGGAAGGACAUCACCCACAGAAGAAGCACCGGCUAACUCCGUGCCAGCAGCCGCGGUAAUACGGAGGGUGCGAGCGUUAAUCGGAAUUACUGGGCGUAAAGCGCGCGUAGGCGGUCUGAUAAGCCGGUUGUGAAAGCCCCGGGCUCAACCUGGGAACGGCAUCCGGAACCGUCAGGCUAGAGUGCAGGAGAGGAAGGUAGAAUUCCCGGUGUAGCGGUGAAAUGCGUAGAGAUCGGGAGGAAUACCAGUGGCGAAGGCGGCCUUCUGGACUGACACUGACGCUGAGGUGCGAAAGCGUGGGUAGCAAACAGGAUUAGAUACCCUGGUAGUC
rnacentral:rRNA from 1 species